AUUUCCUGGGACACACAGGACCGCUCCAGAAGCCAGCCCAGACUCGAGAAACCCAGGCGCCUCGGGGCAGCUCCCAUAGACAGCAGGCAGAGUAACGAAGGACAGCUACGGAAUCCACAAAGGACGGGAAAGGUGGCCGGCCAGGACAAAGACGCAGCGGACCUGUCACUGAGAGCUGGGGUGUGGGCCUCUUGUUGCCGCAAAGACAACGUCGUUGAACAGUGUCCCCUUGAAACCACAAGCCUGUCUGGGCUGGGAGUUGUCACGGUCCUCGAUUUGCAAAUCAA